UUCCUUUCUGGGUCACUCUACCCAAAACUCAAAAGUAGAAUCAGCACACAUGGGUCUCAGUUCUUUGAAUCAAACUCUCUAGGCUGUAAUCUCUUUCUCCUUCAUUGGGUGAAUUAUUCUAGAAAGACAUCAAAAGCUAUGCCCUUUGUUGUAAUUAGCAGGGAUGGUGUCACAAGCUAAAUUGAAGAAGAAUCAUCAUAGAAGUAGAGGCAAAGAUGAACAAAGAAGAUCUGGGGUAGCGAAGAUGGUGAUGCACAAUGACUACAAAUAAAGAAUUCUUGAAGCUAAAAACAACUUAUGGUGGAUAAAAUUGGUCAGCAAACUCAAAAUCCUGCUCCUAUUCUUCCUGUUGAUAAAUCUCUCUGUUGUGUAAGACUUCAUAACCAAGAAAACUUGCACAAAAGCGAUAUGUUAAUUUCAAGGUACCCUUCCAUGAGGCAGAAGUGAGAUGAUUUACACAUAUAUAACAGACAGUCGAAAGUUGAAUUCUCGGAUUGGCUGCGUCUAAGAUCUAUGAAAAAGAUGAGCAGAUUAGUCAUUUGAUUUCUGGUGUUAUUUUAUUUUUGAUAUGUGGAAUGCCUAUACUACCUGCAAAGGCGUUCAACGGUGUUCUCCAGUGUAAAUCGUAGUAUUUAUUGGGCGUACUUUUGCAUCAGUAUAUCCUCAAAUGUGUAUAGCAUGUUGCUGUAUCUACAGCAAGUAUGUAAUUUUGAAUGUUCUCUCCUCAGCUGAGGGUUGUAAUUAGUACUUGGUUGACAUUGGCAUCUUGAAUCUGAUUUGACAUGCAAUGAUCUUUUGUUGAGUAA